GUGAAUCAUCAAAUCUUUGAACGCAAAUUGCGCUUCCCGGCAUCCCGGGAAGUAUGCGUGUUUGAGGGUCAGUAUUAACAAAAAAUCGGUUUGGUUGAUAAUUGUGACGUUUCCGGAGUCUGGGUUAUCUUAACUUUUUUGGUUGAGGGGUUUAAAAUUGACCUUUUUUGCGCAUUUUUAGACGUACAUAAAUUUUUUUUUUAAUGGUUUAGUUCUAAUGCUAAAAUUGUAUUUGACUUC
rnacentral:misc_RNA from 1 species